AUCCUGUCCAACAUGAAAACCACGUGCGCCAGGUUCUGACCAGGUUACUUGAGAACCAGCUGUUUGUGAAGGCAGAAAAAUGUCAAUUCCACGCCUCCUCGGUCCAGUUCCUUGGUUACAUUCUCGAGGCUGGCCGCAUCCAACCCGACCCUGCUAAAAUCAAAGCUGUCUCCCAGUGGGAGCCCCCAGUCACUCGCAAAAAAUUACAGCAAUUCCUGGGUUUCGCCAACUUCUACAGAAGAUUCAUCAGAAGUUACAGCAGCAUUGCCUCACCUCUUACUCAGUUAACUUCAAUCUCCAAGCCCUUUCAAUGGAACCCUGAUGCUCAAGUCGUCUUUGACACCCUCAAGUCACUGUUCAUCUCGGCACCCAUCCUCACUCAACCUGACUCGGCUAGACAGUUCAUAGUAGAGGUCGAUGCUUCUGACACUGGGGUCAGAGCUGUCCUUUCCCAGAAGGAAACCACCACAAACAAACUCAAACCCUGUGCUUUCUUUUCCCGGAAACUUAAUCCCGCUGAACGGAAUUAUGACGUAGGUAAUCGUGAGCUGCUGGCCAUCAAACUAGCGUUGGAAGAGUGGCGUCAUUGGUUGGAGGGAGCAGAUCAACCCUUUAUAGUAUGGACCGACCAUAAGAACCUGGCCUACUUGCGUUCAGCCAAGCGUUUAAAUUCACGUCAAGCUCGUUGGUGUUUAUUUUUUGACAGAUUUAAUUUAACUAUUACUUACAGGCCGGGCAGCCGCAACACCAAACCCGAUGCCCUCUCCCGCCAAUUCAGUCCCGAUGAUACCACGAGCUCCAAUACCAUCAUUCCAUCUACCUGCAUAGUGGGCAGUUUAACCUGGGACAUCGAAAACCGGGUCGUUAAUGCUCAGGGGGAAGAACCCAAACCCGACUCCUGUCCUGACGGUGUUCUCUUUGUUCCCACGUCACUCCGGUCAGACGUUCUUUCCUGGGGUCACAGUUCUCGGGUUGCCUGCCAUGGCGGAGUUUUUAGGACCCUCAAUCUCCUCCGGAAGAGGUUUUACUGGCCCAAAAUGGACAAGGAUGUGCGUGAGUACGUUGCCGCUUGUACCUGAUGUGCUAGAUCUAAGUCCUCCAGUUCAACCUCUGCUGGCUUGCUCCAUCCUCUGCCAACUCCCCAUAGACCCUGGUCACACAUCGCUGUGGACUUUGUUACUGGGCUACCCACGUCCCAAGGCCACACUGUAAUUCUUACAGUGAUCGAUCGCUUCUCCAAAGCCGCCCAGUUCAUCCCCUUGCCCCAGUUACCUUCAGCCACGAUGACAGCCGACCUCCUAUAGAACCAUGUUUUUCGCCAUCAUGGCAUUCCAGCAGACAUUGUUUCAGACAGGGGCCCUCAAUUCAGUUCUCACGUUUGGAAGGCGUUCUGUUCGGCGUUGGGGGCUACAGUUAGUUUGUCCUCCGGCUAUCACCCCCAAUCCAACGGCCAGGCAGAGCGUGCAAAUCAAGAGUUGGAGGCGGCUCUAUGCUGUCUGGCCGCCCAGAACCCGGCUGAUUGGGCCACGCACUUGGUGUGGAUCGAGUAUGCCCACAACUCCCACAUUUCGUCUGCUACCGGGGUCUCUCCCUUCGAAGCAUCGUUGGGCUAUUCCCCCCCUCUGUUCCCCUCUCAGGAGCUGGAGCUGGCUGUCCCAUCCAUGCAACAUCAUCUUCAACGCUGCCAACGGGUGUGGAACCAAACCAGAGAGGCUCUGCUUCGGACCAAGGAGGACAACUGUAGGAUCGCCAAUCGCCACAGGGUGGCGGGCCCCACUUAUCAGGUCGGUCAAAAAGUGUGGCUGUCAUCUAAAAACAUUCCCCUGCAGACCUCGUCUCGCAAGUUGGCACCCAGGUUCAUCGGUCCCUAUGUCAUCGACCGCAUCCUCAAUCCCUCCUGUGUCCGUCUUCGCCUGCCUGCUGCCCUUAAAGUACACCCCACGUUCCACGUCUCUCACAUUAAACCCCUUUGUGCCCGCCUUCCACUUCCCCACCUCCCGCCCGUAUCAUUGAUGGGGGUCCGGCGUUCACUGCCUCCCGCAUCCUGGAUAUCCGUGGCCGUGGCCGUGGCCACCAGUACCUGGUGGAUUGGGAAGGGUACGGUCCUGAGGAACGCUCCUGGGUCUCCCGUUCCCUCAUCCUCGACCCUUCCCUCAUCUCCGACUUCUUCCGCGCCCACCCGGAUCGUUGGCCUGGACCGCCAGGAGGCGGUCGUUGAGGGGGGGGUACUGUCAUGGUGGCCUGUCAGACUCCUCCCCCUCCAGCUCUGCUGCUCAUCCCUCUCAGCUGUGACCACUCUACUCAUCAGACACCUGCUACUUAAGGAGACCCAGCUUCAUCAUUCUCCGCCAGUUCGCUAACCCUGAUGGUCCUCACCUCAUGCCAAGAGUGUCACCUGAAUCUCACCUCCUCGAGCAGCAGCUGCCAUAUCACUCCUCGUCGACGUCACCUGUGUUUGUCAGCCACAGUGUCUGUGCUCCUCUGGAUCUCCAGCCACGCCACGAACUCUGUCUGGCCUCUCAGCUCUUGGGACUCUGCACGUACGGUACCGGAGACUACAAUCAAGAGCCGCAGCCACGUUACCCACAGCCUCGUCAGGAAUCAGCAAUAACUUAAAAUAAACUCUUUACUUACCUUUCACUCACCUGUCUCUGCCUCUGGGUUCCAGCGUCUGGGUCCGUUCCGUGUACUAGCCAUGACAGAACGAACUGGCCAGAAACCCGACCCAGCUGACCCGGAAGUUCUCCGCCACGCUGUGCAGAAACGAGGUAUUUUCUUGGAACUCCACUCCAAUAUACUCUCUCGCAUCACUUCUGUUCAGGAGGACCUUAUUUCCCGGAUCCAGGAUAUCACACGGACUCUUCAGACCUUAAACACCACAGCUCCAGCUUCACUCCCAUCCCCGGCGAUCUGUUUAUGACAGAAUGCUUCUUUUUUAUUUUUUAUUUUUAGCAAUUAUCCUUACUAGUUGACUCAGCAUGCUUUGCAGAUACAGUAUCAACACAAGCGAAACAAACACCUUCAUACUUGUGAAUGAAGUAAAAGGUUGGUAUGAUGCUUGUAGUAGAAUGAGUUAGCCACCUGGAACUCAAAAAUGAACACUUUCUGAAUCAGAAUGAAGUCUCUAAAGAAGACUUGCAACUCUAAGUCAGCAAGAAGACUUGAACACCAUGAUCCUGAUGAAGGUAGAUCCUCUCUGAACAUGCGGUCAGAAACCCUUGAACUCAUUUGUCACACACACACAUCAAGCAAAAUUUACUGAGCAGCUCAAGAUAGGACAACUCUCUAGCUAAACAGCCUAAUGGAUAUUUAAACAUGGAAACUAGAUUAGUUUUUACAAGAAAAACUCCAGCUUUUUUUUUUUGCAACAUUUCAAAAACAUGUCUCUUUGUAUUUUUAGAUUUCCUUCCCCCUGGCUGUCUUUAGGGGAGUGUAGUGUAUCAGCAGCUUGGCUCUGUCCCCACUUUGCUUUCAUCGAAGCAAUGUCACAACAGAACAAUCCUCGAAGGAUCUACUAGACUGAAAUGGCAGUUUAUUUUCUCCUCUUUUCAGCGUUGCUCUCCUGAGUUUUUUUUUCCCCUGACAGCAAAAUUCUAAAUGCAUGAAAUGUUUUUCUUUCCUUAAACAACUUGUCUGAAUAUGCCUAUAAAGUACUUGAAGUCAUUUAAAAGUUCAUUUUUAAGUUCAGAGUUCAUUCCUCUAUGAAACAAUUCCAAUGGUAUCCACUUUGGUUGGAAAUCUAAUAAAGGUGGUUCAUGAGUA